GCCGGAGUGGCGGAAUUGGCAGACGCAAGGGACUUAAAAUCCCUCGGUCUCUCGGGACCGUACCGGUUCAAGUCCGGUCUCCGGCACCA
rnacentral:tRNA from 1 species